AAGCGACCACGUGAGUGUAAGCGAAUCCCAAAAAUAACGUCUCAGUUCGGAUUGUAGUCUGCAACUCGACUACAUGAAGCUGGAAUCGCUAGUAAUCGCGAAUCAGAUGUCGCGGUGAAUACGUUCCCGGGUCUUGUACACACCGCCCGUCACACCAUGGGAGUCAGUAACGCCCGAAGCCGGUGACCCAACCAGUUCAGGAGGGAGCCGUCGAAGGUGGGACCGAUAACUGGGGUGAAGUCGUAACAAGGUACC
rnacentral:rRNA from 1 species